CCUGUCCACCCUCAAGUGCCGCCGCCAAAGGGGGGGGCGGUUGGGAUCUCCUCGCCACCGCCUCCCCUCCUCCGCCAGCCAACAGGAAGAUGCGGGGCCGAGUGGUGCAGGUGCUUCAGACGGCGGAAGAGG